GUGAAUCAUCAAAUUUUUGAACGCAAAUUGCACUCUCCUCGGAGAGUAUGCCUGUUUGAGGGUCAGCCUAUAAAAAAUCGACAUCGUUGCUGUUUCGCGGUGGCGUUCGGCGGAAAUUGGGUCAUCUUAAAUCUUUUGGUUUUAAGCGACUUAAAAUUUUCUUUUUGGUUCCAUGAACGUUUCUAAGAUUUAUUUCUUUACACGUUUAUGGUAUUGAUUUGUAUUAGACGUGACCAUAAUAUGGGAUCGCGCCUAUAAUCUUUCAUUAAAUGACCUCAGACAGGUAAGAGUAACCGCUGAA
rnacentral:misc_RNA from 1 species